CUUGGGAUCUCAUUCUCACUUUUAAUGGUCUUUUACCUCCUUCACUAUACGAGUAUUUUCCAAUUCUAUAUGCUUCUUCCACUUCUCAUUCCAGUCCCUGUUCUUCACCUUGGACCAUUGUAAUAAUUUUCCUUACCAACUCCUCUCUCUCUCUCUCUCUCUCUCUCUCUCUCUCUCUCUCUCUCUCUCUCUCUCUCUCUCUCUCUCUCUCUCUCUCUCUCUCUCUCUCUCUCUCUCUCUCUCUCUCUCUCUCUCUCUCUCUCUCUCUCUCUCUCUCUCUCUCUCUCUCUCUCUCUCUCUCUCUCUUAUUCCCUUUUCUUCCUUUCUUCCUUCCCUCCUAUCUUUGUUUCUCCCUCCUCCUCCUCCUCCUCCUUCCUCCUCCUCCUCCUCCUCCUCCUCCUCCUCCUCCUCCUCCUCCUCCUCCUCCUCCUCCUCCUCCUCCUCCUCAUUCAUUCUACCUAACAAGAAAUAAUGGAUUCAAGAUUAUACCCAAACGUUUUAAAUCCCACAAGGCCAAACAUUUUUUCUUUAAUCGUAUAGUAAAUAUAUGGAGUAAACUUCCUGCAGAAAUUGUGAACAAUAUUGAAAUUGUGAAAGCAAUAUUAUUGAAUCAGUUCAUCCUAAACAUUUGUACUUUGUUUUUCCACAGAGCAAUAAGAAAUUAGAAUUGACAGAGAAACCAGACAAGGGACUGCAUUUGAAGAAGCACAAGAACCAAGAAAUUUACAUAGCUUUCAUUUUGGUUUACAUUCUGAAAGAUAGAAAUCAAAAACGUCACAAGACAGAAUAGUGAGCUGCAUGCACUUAUCACAGAGUAUAAAGUCACUCCCUCAGAGGAAAAAGACAAGGAUAGCAUGUCUUCAUGUGAGAACUCAGAAGCUAAAUGUGAGCUACCAUCCACAUGAAUAUAUAUUUGUAUAUCAAACUGACAUUCUCCUUGGAGGGAGGCUUUCCAAAGUGCACACACACACACACACACACACACACACACACACACACACACACACACACACACACACACACACACACACACACACACACACACACACA